rnacentral:lncRNA from 1 species
CAUGUUUGUGCACUGCUUGUAUGCAGGCAGUUUCCGAUGGCUGUGGGAAGCUCCCCUGGGGAUCUAAUGGGUUGCAGGGGCUCACGUGGCUCCAUGGGGUCUCAGCCCGACGCACAACGUGGCUGGUGAUAGAGGUGCAUCGCCAGGACCUGAAGGACACUCCCAGACCGCGGUGGCCGUUGGCUUCAUCCUCACUGAGUGUGAUCUGGUCGAGCUUAGUAAUCGCAGGCUUUCUGUUCCUGUUUUGUCCGGUUCUCUCCCACAUCUCCCUUACAAGUUUGUCGAUGUGAUGGAUCCCAAGGCACUGUUCUCAGAGCACAUGCUGACUGACCACCUUGGGGUCCUACAGCCCUUUCUGUGUGAAAGGACUUGACAGAAAGCCAAGGAUUGUCCUCUUCUGGACCACUGCGCUCAGCAUCACCCCAGAUACUUCGAUGCCAACGGUCUGGAGGUGCAGUUCGUUUCCUAAUCUGUAUGACACCAAACCCCCACCCCUCUUCCUCCCAUCCUCUGACCUGCAUUCAGCAGCUCUGGUUCUCAACAGCAAGGUCAGUCAGAGCUUCAGGCUAUGAUUCAGCAUCGCCCAAACACCCAGAGAUGCGGCGUUUUCUGUCCCCUCCCUCCCCCCCCUACCCCCCCCAAAAUGCAGCGAUUUCUCCCAGAAAUUCCCCUUUUCUCCCCGAAAUGAGGCUUUUUUUCCCACAAAUACCCCUUUUUUACCCCGAAACGUGGCGAUUUCUCCUACAAAUACCCAUUUUUUUCCCUAAAAUGUGGCUUUUUUCCCCACAAAUACCCGUUUUCUCCCCUGAAACGAGGCUUUUCUCCUCCACACCCCUAUUUUUCUUACUUAAAUGUGGCUUUUUCUCCUACAAAUAUCCAUUUUUUCCCAAAUAUGUGGCUUUUUUUUCCCACAAAUCCCCAUUUUCUCCCCAACAUGAGGCUUUUUCUGCCAGAAAUAACCAUUUUCUCCUCACAAGUGUGGACUUUUUUUUUCCCUCUCGCCAAAAAUGUGGCUUUUUCGCCCACAAGUACCCAUUUUUUCCAAAAAAGCUAGAUUUUUGCCCCAAAACACCUUUUUUUGUGCUCUAAUUGUGGCUUUUUUGCCCCAAAAUGUGGCAUUGUUUCCCACAAACACUCGUUUUCUCCCAAAAAUGAGGCUUUUUUUUUUUCCUACAAAUCCCCU